rnacentral:rRNA from 1 species
AGAGUUUGAUCAUGGCUCAGAUUGAACGCUGGUGGCAUGGCUAAAACAUGCAAGUCGAAUGUGCCCGCAAGGGCAAGUGGCGAAAGGGUCAGUAAUACGAUCGAACGUACCCCGAGGUGGGGAUAGGGUGGACUAAAGUCACCAUAAUACCCCAUGAUCUCUCCGGGAGCAAAAGGGUUUUACCCGCCUUGGGAGCGGCGAUCGUCCUAUCAGGUAGUUGGCGGGUAAAGGCCCACCAAGCCGUAGACGGGUAGCGGGUGUGAGAGCACGGCCCGCGACAUCGAAACUGAGACACUGUUCGGACUCCUACGGGAGGCUGCAGUAACGAAUCUUCCGCAAGUGGGACGAAAGCCUGGACGGAGCAAUGCCGCGUGGUGGGAUGAAGCGUCUCUGACGUAGUAAACCACUGUCAGGGGGCAGGAACAAUGACCGCCCCCAAAGGAAGUGGCGACUAACUCUGUG